rnacentral:rRNA from 1 species
GGAGGAAAGCAGGGGAUCGCAAGACCUUGCGCUUUUGGAGCGGCCGAUGUCUGAUUAGCUUGUUGGUAGGGUAAAAGCUUACCAAGGCUUCGAUCAGUAGCUGGUCUGAGAGGACGACCAGCCACACUGGGACUGAGACACGGCCCAGACUCCUACGGGAGGCAGCAGUGGGGAAUUUUGGACAAUGGGGGCAACCCUGAUCCAGCCAUGCCGCGUGAGUGAAGAAGGCCUUCGGGUUGUAAAGCUCUUUCAGCCGGAACGAAACGGUUACGGUUAAUACCCGUGACUACUGACGGUACCGGAAGAAGAAGCACCGGCUAACUACGUGCCAGCAGCCGCGGUAAUACGUAGGGUGCGAGCGUUAAUCGGAAUUACUGGGCGUAAAGCGUGCGCAGGUGGUUUUGUAAGUCAGAUGUGAAAUCCCCGGGCUCAACCUGGGAACUGCGUUUGAAACUACAAAGCUAG